rnacentral:rRNA from 1 species
GAACUGAGACACGGUCCAAACUCCUACGGGAGGCAGCAGUGAGGAAUAUUGGUCAAUGGACGAGAGUCUGAACCAGCCAAGUAGCGUGAAGGAUGACUGCCCUAUGGGUUGUAAACUUCUUUUAUACGGGAAUAAAGUGAGCCACGUGUGGCUUUUUGUAUGUACCGUAUGAAUAAGGAUCGGCUAACUCCGUGCCAGCAGCCGCGGUAAUACGGAGGAUUCGAGCGUUAUCCGGAUUUAUUGGGUUUAAAGGGAGCGUAGGCGGGUUGUUAAGUCAGUUGUGAAAGUUUGCGGCUCAACCGUAAAAUUGCAGUUGAUACUGGCGACCUUGAGUGCAACAGAGGUAGGCGGAAUUCGUGGUGUAGCGGUGAAAUGCUUAGAUAUCACGAAGAACUCCGAUUGCGAAGGCAGCUUACUGGAUUGUAACUGACGCUGAUGCUCGAAAGUGUGGGUAUCAAACAGGAUUAGAUACCCUGGUAGUCCACACAGUAAACGAUGAAUACUCGCUGUUGGCGAUAUACGGUCAGCGGCCAAGCGAAAGCAUUAAGUAUUCCACCUGGGGA